CGAAAGCCUGACGGAGCAAGACCGCGUGAGGGAAGAAAGCCUUUGGGUUGUAAACCUCUUUUCUCAGGGAAGAAACCUGACGGUACCUGAGGAAUCAGCAUCGGCUAACUCCGUGCCAGCAGCCGCGGUAAUACGGAGGAGGCAAGCGUUAUCCGGAAUUAUUGGGCGUAAAGCGUCCGCAGGUGGCGAUUCAAGUCUGCUGUCAAAGCACGGGGCUUAACUCCGUUAAGGCAGUGGAAACUGAAUGGCUAGAGUGCCGUAGGGGUAGAGGGAAUUCCCGGUGUAGCGGUGAAAUGCGUAGAUAUCGGGAAGAACACCAGUGGCGAAGGCGCUCUACUGGGCCGCGACUGACGCUGAGGGACGAAAGCUAGGGGAGCG
rnacentral:rRNA from 1 species